UGCCUUGUUAACUGUAUGGAGCACAGUUCUGUUAUGUGUCUCUUCCCUACAACAAGGCCACAUCAAUGCACAGGUUUUGCUUCCAUCAUGUAGAACACAUUGCAGUGAUGACAAUGAGACCUGCUAUAUUU